rnacentral:rRNA from 1 species
GACGUAGGGCGCGAGCGUUGUCCGGAUUUAUUGGGCGUAAAGAGCUCGUAGGCGGCUUGUCGCGUCGACUGUGAAAUCCCGCGGCUCAACUGCGGGUCUGCAGCCGAUACGGGCAGGCUAGAGUUCGGUAGGGGAGACUGGAAUUCCUGGUGUAGCGGUGAAAUGCGCAGAUAUCAGGAGGAACACCGAUGGCGAAGGCAGGUCUCUGGGCCGAUACUGACGCUGAGGAGCGAAAGCGUGGGGAGCGAACAGG